rnacentral:rRNA from 1 species
UACGGAGGGUGCGAGCGUUGUCCGGAAUCACUGGGCGUAAAGGGCGCGUAGGUGGCGCCGCAAGUCAACGGUGAAAGCUCGACGCUUAACGUCGAGUCGGCCGUCGAGACUGCGGGGCUCGAGCACUGUAGAGGCUCAUGGAAUUCCGGGUGUAGCGGUGGAAUGCGUAGAGAUCCGGAAGAACACCGGUGGCGAAGGCGGUGAGCUGGGCAGUGCUGACACUGAGGCGCGACAGCGUGGGGAGCAAACAGG